ensembl:snRNA U6 U6 spliceosomal RNA
GUGCUCACUUCGGCAGCACAUAUACUAAAAUUGGAACGAUACAGAGAUUAGUAUGGCCCCUGUGCAAGGAUACCAUGCAAAUUCAUGAAGUGUUUCAUAUUUUU